CCCCACCAUUUCUCUCACAUUUAACAGCCAAUCUCUUUCUCACUUCUCAAAGUCAAACGUACCCCCAAUCCGAUGGAGCUCCGACCCUUGGGAAACACAGGGCUCAAGAUCAGCUCUGUGGGUUUUGGGGCAUCCCCUCUUGGCAGUGUCUUCGGCCCUGUAUCCGAGGACGACGCCGUCGCCUCCGUUCGUGAAGCCUUCCGCCGGGGCAUCAAUUUCUUCGAUACCUCUCCGUAUUAUGGAGGAACAUUGUCAGAGAAGAUGCUUGGUAAGGGACUUAAAGCCCUAGGAGUUCCUAGAAAUGAAUAUGUCGUGUCAACAAAGUGUGGGCGGUAUAAAGAGGGCUUUGAUUUUAGUGCUGAAAGAGUAACUAGGAGCAUUGAUGAGAGUUUGGAGAGGUUGCAAUUGGACUACGUUGAUAUAUUGCAAUGCCAUGACAUUGAGUUUGGGUCUCUUGACCAGAUUGUGAAUGAAACAAUUCCUGCCCUUCAGAAACUAAAGGAGGCGGGGAAGAUCCGUUUUAUUGGGAUAACUGGACUCCCUCUAGGAAUCUUUACUUAUGUGCUCGAUCGAGUACCAUCUGGUACAGUUGAUGUGAUUCUCUCUUAUUGCCACUACAGUAUUAAUGAUUCAACACUGGUGGAUUUACUUCCAUACUUGAAGAGCAAAAGUGUAGGUAUAAUUAGUGCUUCUCCACUUGCAAUGGGACUCCUUACAGAGAAUGGUCCUCCAGAGUGGCACCCUGCUUCUCCUGAGCUAAAGUCUAAAUGCCAAGCUGCUGCUGCCUAUUGUAAAGAGAAUGGAAAGAGUAUUACCAAGUUAGCACUGCAAUACAGUUUAUCGAACAAGGAUAUCUCUACAGUGCUGGUUGGCAUGAACUCUGUUGGACAGGUUGAGGAAAAUGUUACUGCUGCCCUAGAACUUGCUACAUUUGGGAAGGAUCAAGAAACACUAGCCGAAGUUGAGGCGAUUCUUAGCCCUGUCAAGAACCAGACAUGGCCGAGUGGAAUCCAACAGGGCUGAUGGUUUUGCCAACUCUGAAUCCGUUUUCCUCAUGUACUGUUCAUAAUUUCAAUUGCCAACAGUGCCCUACUUAAUCCAUAUGGUUCAGUGGGAGGGCCUCCUCCAUUACAGUUCUCCCCUCUAGAAAAAAUGAGUUAUGAAUGGAAAGAGAGGGUCAUUACUCAUUGUUAUGCAGAUGGAUCUUUGCUUAAUAAAUUGUAUGAUUUAUUCAUUCUGGUCAUGAGACAUUCAAGGGGUGAAUAUUGUAAACUUGGAUUUGGUUUGUAUUUCAAGUCGUCGUAAAAUUGUAUUGUAAUAUUCUAUUGUAAGCUUCCCUCAGCUAAUAUUUCCAUUUUUUUUUUUAUACCAAAAUAAAAAU
rnacentral:misc_RNA from 1 species